rnacentral:rRNA from 1 species
CCCUUAGAUGUUCUGGGCCGCACGCGCGCUACACUGACGAAUGCAACGAGCUUAUAACCUUGGCCGAAAGGUCUGGGUAAUCUCCAAAUUUCGUCGUGAUGGGGAUAGAUUAUUGCAAUUAUUAAUCUUCAACGAGGAAUGCCUAGUAAGCGCAAGUCAUCAGCUUGCGUUGAUUACGUCCCUGCCCUUUGUACACACCGCCCGUCGCACCUACCGAUUGGAUGGUCCGGUGAAGCCUCGGGAUUGUGGUUCUUGCCGCUUUAUUGUGGCGUGACCGCGAGAACUUGUCUAAACCUUAUCAUCUAGAGGAAGGUGAAGUCGUAACA